rnacentral:rRNA from 1 species
UGGGGAAUUUUGGACAAUGGGCGAAAGCCUGAUCCAGCAACGCCGCGUGAGUGAUGAAGGCCUUCGGGUUGUAAAGCUCUGUCAGAGGGAACGAAAAACAGCGACCUAAUACGUCGUUGCUUGACGGUACUCUCAAAGGAAGCACCGGCUAACUCUGUGCCAGCAGCCGCGGUAAUACAGAGGGUGCAAGCGUUGUUCGAAAUUACUGGGCGUAAAGGGUACGUAGGCGGCGAAGUGUGUCUGAUGUGAAAGCCCUUGGCUUAACCAGGAAGUGCAUUGGAAACUACUUUGCUAGAGUGUGAGAGAGGAUAGUGGAAUUCCCAGAGUAGAGGUGAAAUUCGUAGAUACUGGGAGGAACAUCUGAGGCGAAGGCGACUAUCUGGAUCACAACUGACGCUGAGGUACGAAAGCAUGGGUAGCAAACAGGAUUAGAUACCCCUGUAGUCCCUGAGCGGGCUGGCAAGGCG